GUCCAGACUCCUACGGGAGGCAGCAGUGGGGAAUAUUGCACAAUGGGGGAAACCCUGAUGCAGCAACGCCGCGUGAGCGAAGAAGUAUUUCGGUAUGUAAAGCUCUAUCAGCGGGGAAGAAAAUGACGGUACCUGAGUAAGAAGCCCCGGCUAACUACGUGCCAGCAGCCGCGGUAAUACGUAGGGGGCAAGCGUUAUCCGGAUUUACUGGGUGUAAAGGGAGCGUAGACGGCAGUGCAAGUCUGGAGUGAAAGGCGGGGGCUCAACCCCCGGACUGCUCUGGAAACUGUACGGCUGGAGUGCAGGAGAGGUAAGUGGAAUUCCUAGUGUAGCGGUGAAAUGCGUAGAUAUUAGGAGGAACACCAGUGGCGAAGGCGGCUUACUGGACUGUAACUGACGUUGAGGCUCGAAAGCGUGGGGAGCAAACAGGAUUAGAUACCCGAGUACCC
rnacentral:rRNA from 1 species